rnacentral:rRNA from 1 species
AACAAACGCUGGCGGCGUGCCUAAUACAUGCAAGUCGAACGGGGAAAGCUUUCGGGUGAGUACUAGUGGCGCACGGGUGAGGAACGCGUGGAUAAUCUGCCUUAGAGUGGGGGAUAACUAGUCGAAAGAUUAGCUAAUACCGCAUAAGAACACGGGAGCUGCGGCUCUAGGGGUCAAAGGUUUUUCGCUUUAAGAUGAGGCUGGGUAAGAUUAGCUAGUUGGUGAGGUAACGGCUCACCAAGGCGACGAUCUUUAACUGGUCUGAGAGGAUGAUCAGUCACACUGGAACUGAGACACGGUCCAGACUCCUACGGGAGGCAGCAGUAGGGAAUAUUGCACAAUGGAGGAAACUCUGAUGCAGCGACGCCGCGUGAGUGAUGAAGGCCUUCGGGUCGUAAAGGUCUGUCGCAGGGGAAUAACACAAUGAAGGUACCCUGUAAGAAAGGAUCGGCUAACUUCGUGCCAGCAGCCGCCGUAAAAC